CUGGUUUGAUUGUUUGAUUUUUAACCACAAAAAAUCAUCUAUGCUUUCAUUUACUCUCCUACUCUUCCACAGAACAGUUCAAGCUGUCAGCAGAUCCUUUGCUGUUUCAUGUUUUCUUUCAGUUUCAUACUCACUCUGAUGCCUACUGGAAAUCUCAUACACAAACAUGGGCAGGGAACUGCAUAGUCAGAGGCUGGAAAAUCAAAUUAAUUGGUCAAUAUAUACAUAAAAGACCUUAAAGGAUAUCUGGCAUUGUGCAAGUAUAACUCAAACCAUAGAUCUGGGGUGUCAGGGUUUCAGGAGUUUCUCACUUCUCCACCAUUUCAUUUUCAUUUCUGCAGCACAAGGGUCUGUCUUGCUCAGCUGGUUAUGCUAAGGGGCUGCACUGCAAUGAGGCUGCAUUGCAAACAGGACCAGUAUUCAAAACAACCUCCAUCUUUGCCAUUUCAGGCUUUGUUCGGAAAAAUUUUGAAUCAUCUCUUAAAUUAUGUAACAGAUUGACACAAUGGCGGUAAUUAAAUUCUCUUCAACUCUGAAUAUGCUAAGCUCUGUAAGGGCAGUCUCUGAGGGCUGGGAGAUGUAGCUCUGGAUUCCUUGAGGUGGCGUACAAAGCUAAAUUUACUUCUUCCACCUGUUGGUAUUAUAAAAAAGCUAGGAAAAGUCAGAAUUUCUUUAUUUAAGAUAAAGUAUUAAAGUAUUACAACCUGGAAUUUGUGAUCUGAUCAGUAGACCCUCAGAAAUUCAAGUAGAUCAGAAUUGCUUGAGGAAGAAAGGUAAGACAAAAAAUCCAGUAUGCGAAUCUUCUUGAACUUACCUGAGAGUUUUUGACAAGUCCACUCAGCUGAGUAGCAUGAAGCUUGAAAUUACAGGGAAUCUCCACAGUUUAAUUCAGAGGCACCAAAGGAGACUGUGUUCUUCCAAAGUUCAGUCCAAACUGGCUGGGUAUUUUGGGAAGCAUGUCUGAAUUUAAACAUGUAAAUCCCCACUAAUCUUCUCUCCCUGCAUGUGAGGUCCUUGCACUUCCCCCCUGAAGUCAAGAAUGAAAUAAUCAAGACACAACAGGGAGAGGAAUGGCGACUGUGUCAGAACAGGGGUGAGAUCUGCUAUGUCAGUGGGAACUAGAUUAGAUGGGAUUUAAAGUUGUAACUCCUGAGGACAGAGUUGACGGGUUUUUGUCAAAGGGUCAGAGAGACUGUAUCUUUUUAGAUGUGAGAGAUUGUGAAUAAGAAGAGACUAAGGAUUAACAAUAAGUGAGCAAACAGUAGGAAGGAGUAGAAAAACAUAGAUGAGAGCUGAGGUACAGAAAAGGUCAGAAUUGAGCUCUGACUUGAAGGUAGAAGGAAAACAGGAAAGCCAAUAAAUAUGGAGAAAGACUUUCACUGUCAGCAUUCCAAAGGGGUUACUUAAUAUCAAAGGCCACGUUGUGUGGCAUUGCCCCACAAAUGAGGCCAGUAAUCUAGGCUGAAAUUACAGGCCCUGGUCCACUUAAGAAAAGAUAACCUUUAGAGCAACAAGAACAGCUUCAGAAAAGACAUUGUAACAUUGCUGCAAGUUUGAUGUGCAUAAGAUGAAUUUUGAAAUGAUUAAUCCACACAACAUGAAAGACAAAUGCAGUGAAAAACUGAAGGGGAUGGAAGAAAAAGGGCUGAAGGAAAGUUCUGUUCCUUUCCAUUUUCUGGAAAAUUCAGCAAAAUGUAAAUGUUGCUAUUAUAAAUAGCAUCUUCAGCUAGUAACUGUUUGGGUUUCCUCUCUACUCCAAUCUUUUUGUUUUGCGUUAGUCCAGCAAGAGUUCCAUCAUCUCUUUCACUUUCUCUCUCUCUUCACUGUUACCCCAAUGUAACAACCUCUUUUUCUUCUCUUCGUGUCCCAUUCCAUCUUUCCCUCCUGAUCACUACCCCAGAGAGACUUGGAAGGCCGUGGGUCAACCAGGGAGGGGUGGCUAUAUGAGGAGGAGGAGGAGAAAUCUGUGACUCCAGAAGUCUAGGACUGCAUCUUUUGUGUUUGCCUAGCAGUCCAGCCCAGCUGUCCACUGCCAACCAGCAGCAAAUCUCCCUCUCUACACAUGAACACAGGAGCUGAGUUAACAGGAGGAUCCUCACUGUUGGUGGAUGCAGGCACAUCCCUGCUGCAGUCCUGACUGGUGGUGGGACAGGAGCUGGGGACACCCACAGAAAUAUCACUGACAGCCCAGAUCAAAAAAGUAAGCCCAAGUGUACCCUAGGAAUGACAUCCUCUGGAGCAGGACCUUUCCUGAGGGAAAUAAUGCUUGGAGGAGGUUACUGGCCUGGGGCAAAGCUUCCAGCAUUCAGAUUUCCCUACCAGUCAUCAAC